rnacentral:rRNA from 1 species
UACGGAGGGUGCAAACGUUGCUCGGAAUCAUUGGGCGUAAAGCGCACGUAGGCGGCUUGUUAAGUCGGAUGUGAAAGCCCUGGGCUCAACCCAGGAAGUGCAUUCGAAACUGGCGAGCUUGAAUAUGGAAGAGGGUCGCGGAAUUCCUGGUGUAGCGGUGGAAUGCGCAGAUAUCAGGAGGAACACCGGUGGCGAAGGCGGGUCUCUGGGCCAUUACUGACGCUGAGGAGCGAAAGCGUGGGGAGCGAACAGG